rnacentral:rRNA from 1 species
GACGUAGGGCGCGAGCGUUGUCCGGAUUGAUUGGGCGUAAAGAGCUCGUAGGCGGCUCGUUGCGUCGGCUGUGAAAACCCGCAGCUCAACUGUGGGCCUGCAGCUGAUACGGCCGAGCUGGAGCAAGCUAGGGGGUAAUGGAAUUCCCGGUGUAGUGGUGGAAUGCGUAGAUAUCGGGAGGAACACCAGUGGCGAAGGCGGUUACCUGGAGCUUUGCUGACGCUGAUGCGCGAAAGCGUGGGGAGCGAGUCCGG